GUUAAAGUCUAACAAGCGGUCAAUUAAAUGGUUGUAAUAAUUAACACCCUUGGAAUUGAUGGUCUUGUUGGUGCCAGCAGGGAAAAUUCUAGACCAGGAUACAGAAAAUUUGUACAGCUGGGACUGAAGACCUCUAAGCAGCUUCAGAAGAAUCCCAGCACAGCUCUGGAUGCAAAACCAACAAAAGUGGUGUUAUCUGCAUGGCUGGGGCUGGGUCCACCAGAGGUCAGGGCGUGCAGGGCAGCAGGAGGCACAUUUGAGCUCUAAUCCUGGGGGAAUAAAGGACAUCUGAGAUGUGGAACCUCACCCAGCUGGAAAAGUGACUCUGAUGUGAAUUCAGGCAGCAGCAAGAGUAACAUCCAGGAAUUUGAGUCUCAAUUUUUUUGCUUUCCAAAGCUCUCCCUCCUUCAGCCCUGAAAACACUGCUCUCCCAGCAGGGUGAACACGUUCAGGUCACCCACCUGAACUGCUGAAGGGCACAGCCAACUCAGCUCUUCUGAAUUCCAGUACAGCAGAACUGAAGGGCUGAGAACACUUUUAAACCAACUAAACACAAAAUUCUACAUACCUGUGAAAUGUUGGUUCUGUCUCAGAGUUCAUUUCCUAUAACAACCAAAAUUUUGUUUAAAGCUUAUCUGCAAUCAUCUGGGCAAGUUAUUGCUGUCAAGCAAUAUUUUCUUUGAGUUACAGCUGAUGAUAUAUUCCUCGACAUUUGCUGUUACUCAAACCUUAUACAGGGAUUGUAAUUUGUGUACUUUGACUCUAUUUGACUCCCAGAUUUUUUCUUUUCCCAGGAAGCUCUAAAGAGCUCACUAUAACAUUGUGCUGAGUGUUCUGAACAAGUUCCCUCCACUCUGAUGUCUGAAUAGCACGUUUAAAAAUUAACUUUACAGCACCACCUGGUGCUUACUUUUCAGUAGAGCUGCAUUAACUCAGAGAAAACCCCUCUCAGCCUACAGAACUGGGGAAAGAAGCAGAAAAAAAUACCUUCUCCUACAUGAAGAGUAUUUUCAAAUUAAGAUUGAGAGGAUAAUAUGAACAUAAUGACGGCCAAACAUCUUCCCAUUGUUAUUUUGAAAGUAAAGGAACAAUAUAGAAUAACAUGAAAGUAUUAUUGCAGGUGGGUGGCUAUUUUUAAUGAAAUGUAGAAUUUGCCAAAAUGUGGUUUAUAAAAUAAAUGAGUGGAGAAGUUACUGCAGUUGGAGUUAGUGCCCAGUGAUGGGGUAGUGCUCAUCCAGGAAAUAAGACAAAUAUUCAGGUAUUUUAAAUUCUUAAUAGAUAAUUUAAUAACCCUCUAGUUUACAGUAAAAAAAUUGAGAGCAGAAAUUCAAGCAAAGUUUUCUUAUAGAAAGAUCUUCAAACAGGUUUACAAAUACAGUCUUAAAAAUCCCUCACAAAUGGUGGCAGUUUUUAAUUCACUUACAAGUCAAGACAUUCAUCAAGGUAGGGGUUUCUGCCCUGCUGACUUAAAGCCUUGCUUUGGGCUUGGCUAUUUGCUAUUUUCUACUUGAUAUAUGCAACAGGAGCCUGCACAUCUUUAGUCCAUCUAAAAAGAAA